CCAGACUCCUACGGGAGGCAGCAGUGGGGAAUAUUGCACAAUGGGGGAAACCCUGAUGCAGCGACGCCGCGUGAAGGACGAAGUAUUUCGGUACGUAAACUUCUAUCAGCAGGGAAGAAAAUGACGGUACCUGACCAAGAAGCCCCGGCUAACUACGUGCCAGCAGCCGCGGUAAUACGUAGGGGGCAAGCGUUAUCCGGAUUUACUGGGUGUAAAGGGAGCGUAGACGGCCAUGCAAGUCUGAUGUGAAAACCCGGGGCUCAACCCCGGGACUGCAUUGGAAACUGUGCGGCUGGAGUGUCGGAGAGGCAAGUGGAAUUCCUAGUGUAGCGGUGAAAUGCGUAGAUAUUAGGAGGAACACCAGUGGCGAAGGCGGCUUGCUGGACGACGACUGACGUUGAGGCUCGAAAGCGUGGGGAGCAAACAGGAUUAGAUACCCCCGUACA
rnacentral:rRNA from 1 species